rnacentral:lncRNA from 1 species
CCCGGAUGCGCCGCCUCCCGCCCUACAGUGAGCCCACCGCGGGGCCGCGGCGCUUCCCUCGGGGCCCGGGAGGUUCCGGCGGCGAGGCGCCUCUGCCCCUGCGUGACCAGCGGUGAGGCGCGGAACCGAGGCGCCGGGGCCGGGGUCCGAGGGCGGCGCGGCCGGGCCUGCCCGGCGAGAGGCUCCGUCUGAAGCUGUGUGCGGACAAAGAGGCGGCCGCAGCAAGUAAAACAGUGCUCGGGCCGUUUCACGUCGAGCAGCUCGGGGUGGGAGGAAGCGGAGGUGCCCUCACCGCGCCGAGCACGUCCUCGGAUCGACCCCGCGGCCGAGCACAGGGCUGCUCCUGAACCGGCUGGGGCCGCCGGGGAGCGGCCGAAGCGGACUGGGGCUGGGGGACUGUCGGCGGCGCCUUCGUCCGGCCCUGCUGAGCCCUGCGCCGGCGACGGGCAUGCGGGGGGUCCAGGACCAGGGGUGGGCGGUGAGAGGGGAGGCCACCGGCUGGCACCGCCGGAAGAGGCAGCCAGGCCUCGGGGGACAGAAACGCCCGGCUCCUUGCAGAAUGGGGACUGUUUGGGGAAGUGUCUCCUGCGUAGUUCCCCGAGGGGGCCCUUCCCCUGUGCUCCUGGGGAGACACUCCCGGGCACGGAUUCCAGCACCUAGCCGUACCUCACCCCGAAGAGGGGACAAAACCCUGGUCCUCUGUUACUCACACUAGGCAUAACCAACCGUUCUUUUCUUAAAUUAAUUUUUUACUUAAGUCGUUCAGAGGUUUGUGUCUUGCUUGCCAGCCAAGAGCUGGAAUGAUGAGAGACUAAUGUUUAUAUUACUUAAAUGGUCCCACUUUUACUUUUUAAAUAAAUGCUAUGUAUGUUCACAGAAGCAGCCCAAAGGCUGUAAGCAAAAAAUAUUAGCGAAGAUUAUCUCUGUAAUUUACUCUCUUGUUUUAUGUGUAUUUACAUUUUCCAAGUAUUCUAAAAUAAAAGUUGUUUUGUAAAAGUACUUAUAUAAUAUUUUGAAAAAAGUGAAUCACGAUUGACCUGUUAAUGUACCACAAGGGAACUUCAUCUUGAAGUUUGUAUCUCUUUUAAAAAUUCCGUAUCAAGAAAAAAUACUGUAUCGCUGGGGGAAAAAAAAGAUUUGCAAAUCAUGUAUCUGAUAAAGUACUUAUAUUCAGAAUAUGUAAAGAAUUCUUACAACUCAAUAAUUAGACUAACAAUCCAAUUUAAAAUGGGGGAAAGAAUUGAAUAGACAUUUUACCAAACAAAAUAUUUAAAUGGUGAAAGAUGGUGUGAAAAGAUGCUCAUAUCAUUAGUCACUAGGGAAAUGCAAAUCAGAACUGCCGUGAGAAAGCUUUUCACACCCAACUGCAAGGGCCCUAAUGAAAAUGACUGACAAUAACCAGCAUUGGGAAGGAGAGGUUAGAACCCUCAUACAUUGCUGGUGGGGAUGUGAAAUGGUGCUGCCACUUCUCAAAAGUUUGUUAGGUUCUUAAAAAGUUAUACAUGAAAGUACCAUGUGACCCAACAGUUCCACCCCUAGGUAUAUACCCAAGAAAAUUGAAUAUGUGUCCAUGUAGCAAGUUGUACGUAAAUAUUCAUAACAGCAUUAUUCAUGAUAUCCAAAAGGUGGAAACAAUCCAAAUGUCCAGCAACUGACGAAUGGAUAAAAUGUGGUAUAUCCAUACAAUGGAACACUAUUCAGCAAUAAAACAGAAUGAAAUAUUCAUAAAAGAUACAACAUAGAGGAACCUCAAAAACAUUAAGCUAAGUGAAAGAAGCCAGAUGCCAAAGAGCAUAUAUUGUAUGAUUUCAUUUAUAUGAAAUGCCUAGAAAAGGCAAAUCUGUAGAGACAGUGGAUUAGUGGUUGGCUGGGGGUAGGAAUGGGGAGUGACGGCAAAGGGGCAGAAGAGAUCUUUCUGGAGUGACAGAAAUGUUCAAAAAUUGGAUUGUAAUGGUUUCACAAGUCUGUAGGUUUACUAGAAAUCAUUGAAUAGUAGAUUUGAAACUGGUGACUUUU